UCGGGAAUUUUGGGCAAUGGGCGAAAGCCUGACCGAGCGAUGCCGCGUGCGGGAUGAAGGCCUUCGGGUUGUAAACCGCUGUCGUAGGGGAGAAAGGGUCGUUGAAGAAACGACUUUGAUCUAUCCUAGGAGGAAGUCCGGGCUAAGUUCGUGCCAGCAGCCGCGGUAACACGAACCGGACAAACGUUAUUCGGAAUUACUGGGCUUAAAGGGUGCGUAGGCGGUGCGGUAAGUGCGGUGUGAAAUCCCACGGCUCAACCGUGGAAUUGCGCUGCAUACUGCCGUGCUAGAGGGAGACAGGGGUAAGCGGAACUGAUGGUGGAGCGGUGAAAUGCGUUGAUAUCAUCAGGAACACCGGUGGCGAAAGCGGCUUACUGGGUCUCUUCUGACGCUGAGGCACGAAAGCUAGGGUAGCGAACGGGAUUAGAUACCCCUGUAGUCCCUGAGCGGGCUGGCAAGGCGCAU
rnacentral:rRNA from 1 species